UACGGAGGGUGCAAGCGUUAAUCGGAAUUACUGGGCGUAAAGCGCACGCAGGUGGCUGAGUCAGUCGAUUGUGAAAGCCCUGGGCUUAACCUGGGAAUUGCAGUCGGAUUACUACUCAGCUAGAGUAUGGGAGAGGGUAGUGGAAUUCCUGGUGUAGCGGUGAAAUGCGUAGAUAUCAGGAGGAACACCGGUGGCGAAGGCGGCCCUCGUGGACGGAUGACUGACGCUGG
rnacentral:rRNA from 1 species